rnacentral:rRNA from 1 species
GAUGAACGCUGGCGGCGUGCCUAAUACAUGCAAGUCGAGCGAACGGACGAGAAGCUUGCUUCUCUGAUGUUAGCGGCGGACGGGUGAGUAACACGUGGAUAACCUACCUAUAAGACUGGGAUAACUUCGGGAAACCGGAGCUAAUACCGGAUAAUAUUUUGAACCGCAUGGUUCAAAAGUGAAAGACGGUCUUGCUGUCACUUAUAGAUGGAUCCGCGCUGCAUUAGCUAGUUGGUAAGGUAACGGCUUACCAAGGCAACGAUGCAUAGCCGACCUGAGAGGGUGGUCGGCCACACUGGAACUGAGACACGGUCCAGACUCCUACGGGAGGCCGCAGUAGGGAAUCUUCCGCAAUGGGCGAAAGCCUGACGGAGCAACGCCGCGUGAGUGAUGAAGGUCUUCGGAUCGUAAAACUCUGUUAUUAGGGAAGAACAUAUGUGUAAGUAACUGUGCACAUCUUGACGGUACCUAAUCAGAAAGCCACGGCUAACUACGUG